ensembl:processed_transcript
CACAGUGUUCAAUGGCAUACCUCUGCCUUCCCACUACUUACAGGCAGAGUGUGUAUCAGAGGGAGAAAGAGAGAGCAUGUGGCACUGGAGAGCCUUUUGAGCUUUUUCCCCCCUCACGGAGAAAUCAAGCAACACGAAGAGAAACAGAGACUUGCAAACUUAAAGGAAACUUCAGUUGGACUUUUCCCAGCUCUGCUAGACUUGAGUGGCGGAAUGGAUUUUCCUCUGAUACUUUGAAUGUCACGGCACAACUGUGGGCUUUUGGCACAGAAGGGAUCUUUUAAGUUGUGUUGACUGAGCGUGUGUGUGAGUGAGGCGCGUGCGUGUGUGACAGGAGCAAUGUCAGGUGUAACACGGAAAGGUUCUGGGAGACCAGGAUAUUAUUAUAGGCUCCUGGGUCGAACGAGGCUACAGAGACAACGCAGCCGCUCCAGGAGCAGAAGCAGAGUCACAAACAAUAAGGACUCUCCACCUGAGAGAACAGGGCGGAGACGUAGCAUACCGGGCUCCGCCCCUGACAAAGUCCCACCUACAAUGGAGCCCACAGCCGCCGCUGCUGCAACACCCUUCAGAGUCACUGGUUUUUUGAGUCGGAGGUUAAAAGGCUCAAUCAAGCGGACUAAGAGUCAGCCUAAACUGGAUAGGAACAGCAGUUUCAGACACAUCCUGCCAGGCUUCAGACCAGUGGACAACGAGAG